CUCCGUCGUCAAGGUCUUCAGCUUCCUCUGUGACCGUCCGCCUCCUUUCCUGUCACUUCUUCAGACCUGGAUGCCUGCCCCUCUCUCACUUGGUGAAGCUCUUCGGUUCUUGGCCCUUGGGUAUUCGUCUAGGCGUCGGUCUGCCCUUCGCUGCCUUUGGCCCUGACUGGCCUGGACCCGACUGUCCAGAUCCCCAGAACCCUGGCUACCUUGCCUUUCAGUUAUUCUUGGUCUGGAAAGAAACUCUUAUUGGUCAUUUAAUUCAGCAAACUAACUCCCCUCCCGUUUGUCACCCAAGCCUGUGGGGUGCUGGAGUCACUGAACGGUGGGCACACGCUGAGCGAGGCCCUGACAGGCCCAGAGCUCUGCGGUCUCCCAUGUCAGUCUCACCGUGGCCGCCCACCCCGCCCACGGCUUCAUCUGCACAGCCGGUCUUGUCUGUCCCAUCAGACACCCUUUAAUCCGUUAACAUCCUAAGUCCAUCACUGCUACACCUCAGUACUUUCUUUUGCUGCCGUCAAGAAGCAUCCUAAGUCACUGAGCCAUCCUGCUACCUGUUGGCAGCUCAGCGGCU